GGCAGCCUAAGCAAUGUUUGCCUGAAUUUUACAGCAACUUGGCGUCAGCUGGUCUAGUUCAAUCUGAGCUGGUUAAGACUGAGCAUGCUCAAGUGUCAGCGUGAUGCCCUCUUGAUGGCAGAGAGCCUCAGAUGGUGCUAAGAGCCUCCAUUUUUGAAGGUGCAGAGGCCUGUAGCUUAGUUACAGGACAUUGGUCACUGCACCUUUUCCCAGUCACCUCUCCCUGAGUUCCCCAUGGCUCGGAUCACCCAUACAUAUGCUUUAUCCCAUAAAUAACCCAAGGUCCUUGCCUUCAGGGAGGUGGAUCUGAGACUAGUCUUUCCGUCUCCUGAACUGGCUGCCUUGUGAAUAGACUCUUUUUGCUGCAAAUCUCGCCAUCUCAGCAUUUUGGCUUGCUCUGAAUCAGGCACAAGGAACCUGUGCCUGAGGUUCAGCAAUAUUACCUCCGUCGGAAGGAAUGGAAGCUCAAAGUGGUUAAGAAGAUUAUUUAGGAGUAUGCCAGUAGUAAGUUGGAGAGAUUGUGUGAGCCGCCAGGCCUGAAGCCCGCAGCAUUUUACCUGUGCAACGCGAAAGGCUGAGCCUGGAUGGAGAAGAGAAGGAGGCGCCGCUCUGCGGAAUGCUCUCCGCGGCGCAUGCUCGGCGAGAUUUCGUGCCGGAGAACACAAACUACUCCGUUAAUUAAAUAGCAAAGGUCGAUGGAGCACCAUGGACAUUCUCUGAAGGCUGCUAGCCAGGAGACUCAAGAAGAAAUUGUUAAAAAGGAGAACUAUCCAAACAUUGUCCUCUCCCUUUGCAGCCUCAACAGGAAAGAAAACUCAUAGUCACUGGAGCCUUGUCAAUGCCAUGCAUGGAGAUUGACCCCUGGAAAAGCAGAGGAUGGAGAAGAUAGAAAUCUGGAGGGACAAAGGGAAGAAGACAUCCGACACAGGAGGUCUUUGGGACAAAUCCCAUCUGUUCCUCAGUCUUUAAUUUCUUCAUCUAUGAAACGGACAAGUUGGAUUAUACUUAUGAUAAUAACAACUAAAACCGCAGCAACACUGAUAGAAGUUAUUUGUUGAGCCCUUAUCAUGAGCCAUAUCUUCAUUUGUCAAAUAGCCUUCAGAAUCAAUAUUAUCCCCAUUGGACAAAUGAGAAAACUGAGGCCCAGCGAAGUGUGGGAUGUUCCUUCACAGACUUGAUAAAUUGCCCUCUUUGAAAAAUAUACUUUCCUGAGGUCCCUCCAUCAUUUUUAUUUACCAUAUCUCUAGUCCAGUUGCACUGUUUGGGGCAAUAGCUGUUUGGGAUUUCUGCUGUCUUUAAAAUUAAGCUUGGUACUAACUCGUCAGCCUUGGGUUCCUUGAUCAGCUCUUCUGGAUUCACUUAGUUUACAUAGCCGUCCUUGAUCUCACAUCAUUUCCUGUGGACACCAAUUCCAGCCAGGAUCUCCCCUGAAAGAGCAGAAGUUCCAAGAAAACAUGCCCCCCCACCCCCCACCUCUGCCCCACUCCUAUCCCCUAGGCCCUUUCUUGUUCUAUCCUAGUAAGACUCAGAUUCAUUCCCUGGCCUGGGAAAUCUAUAUGCCAUGGGUGCAGCUACUAAGAAAACAAAAAAUUGGCUCUGAAACUCUUGACAGGUUCAAGGGGCUUGUCUUAGGCCAGCACAUCAACGGGAGAUGGAGGGAGACAGGAAUGACUCCUUUGGUCAGUUUUAGGAAGAGGGAUCCUAGAGGAGAGAAUGGGAAGCCAAAGCUUUAAUUAGGGAAGGGGAGCAGUCACAGGCCUUGAGGUCUAUGGCAGAAAGGGGUUGAGCCCUGGACCUGGCACGGGGGGUGGGUGGGGUGGGCAGGGCUGAUACCAGGACUGGAGCCCCUGGGCAGCUUUCUCCCCCUUUCAUUAGGCCCCGAUGUAUAAGCCAGCAGGGAGAUGUGUUAACUCUGUGCAGGGAUUCCCAAGAAGCUUUCCCCCUUUCCUAGAAGGAGAAAGGACAAAGGGGACCCUGUUGGUGGCAAGGAAAGGAGGUGGUUGAAGUGCAUUCCACGAUCCUUUGGCCUUUUAAACCUGAAGAUGACGAGUUAAAUAAUUUUGAUGCAGAGACCUUGCCCACCAUUCUAACGAGCCCUAGGAGCUGGCACAGAAAGUGAAUAAUAAUAAAUUAAUUCCUGAGAAUUCCAUUUUUUGUGCUCAAUUAUUAAUGGUAUUACAGUGUUAUUAAUGGUGUCAAUUAUUAACGGCAUGAAUAAUUAAGAAAUCACAUCCAUGCGAUGAUGUACAAGGGUUCCAGUGUUGAACAAAUUGCCCAGGAUAAAUAAACAAACAUACCAGGGCUCAGACCUACAACAUUCAUGUU